rnacentral:rRNA from 1 species
GUGCCAGCAGCCGCGGUAAUACAGAGGUCCCAAGCGUUGUUCGGAUUUACUGGGCGUAAAGGGUGCGUAGGUGGCGCCUCAAGUUUGAUGUGAAAGCUCAGGGCUUAACCCUGAAAUGGCAUUGAAUACUGAGGUGCUGGAGGUUUGGAGGGGGGACUGGAAUUCUCGGUGUAGCAGUGAAAUGCGUAGAUAUCGAGAGGAACACCAGUGGCGAAGGCGAGUCCCUGGACAACACCUGACACUGAGGCACGAAAGCCGGGGGAGCAAACAGGAUUAGAUACCCCUGUAGUCC